AUGCCACCGUCGACGACGACUACUACUACUCAAGAGGUGCCUACUACUACGUGCAGCCCGCUGACGACGACCAGGAGUAGUUUAGGAGGAUCCCAGGUAGGAGGCCUGCGCCUCUUUCGAUCUGUAUCCCAGUUAGUGCUAGCCUUCUUAAGGCAGACUUGUUUAAUUUAUGUCUGUACUCAGAUAUUGUUGCUUCCGCUGACUCGUCUAUGA
rnacentral:rRNA from 1 species